CCAGGAAAACAUGGUAUCUGAGGUGGAAAUCCCUGACAAUUUCGCAUCACUGACUCUUGUGAACCACUUUUGCUUACAUCAUCCUUUGAAUUUGAUGCCAUGACUGAAGAUCCAUUUGAAUGAUCCCCCUCAUUUUCCAUACUUCCAUAAGAAACUGGAAUCCUUAAUGCUUCAGGUUUAUGAAACCCAUUUCUUGUGCAAUUCUGCAUUGUUUUUUCGGCA
rnacentral:misc_RNA from 1 species